GCUAUGGGUCCUAUGUAAUUCCGGCUCACAGAUUGCAAUUCCUAUGGCUUCCAGUAGAUGUCAUCAGUCUUUAUUCAAUGUUUCAGGCUUGUUUUUUGAAAAACAAGCAAGAAUUUUGAGUUUUGGUGAAGAGAGCACCGGAACAAUAUCAGUCUUUCGGCGCACUUACUAAUUUUACUUUCCUAUUGAACAUACUACUUUCCGUAUGAAAUAUUAUUGUUUAUUUACAUUUUAGCGUACCUGAGGAUUAAAUAGAAACUUGUUUGACUUGUUUGGACAAAGUCUAGAAGUAUCUUUUUGGACUCCUUUGUCUGCAUGUUGAACGAGUGGAUUACUGAAAUCGAUGGCGCCAACUAAACAGACUUUUGGGGAUAAAAAUAAGGAUUUUAUCUAACAAAAUGACCAUUCAUGAUGUAGCUGGGAACCUUGGGAUUGCAAACAGAGGAGGAUUUUCAAAAAUGCACAAUUGAGAGCAUCCUGUCGGGCUGUAUCACCGCCUGGAACGGCAACUGCACUGCUCACAACCGCAGGUCUCUUCAGUGGGUGGUGAGGUCUGCACAACGCAUCACCGGGGGCAAACUACCUGUCCUCCAGGACAGCUACACCACCCGAUGUCACAGGAUGGCCAAAAAGAUCAUCAAGGACAACAACCACCCGAACCACUGCCUGUUCACCCCGCUACCCUCCAGAAGGCGAGUGGAGGAGUUGGGCACUUCUCCAACACAAUCCAUUCAUCCAUGAUGAUCCUUUUUCUGCACCGAAGACUCUGAACACCUCAACCCCCUGUCCUGCACUGAAGUCAAGCCUCUGAACAACUCUACUCAUUCCAGCAAUCGCUGCUGCCCUUACCAACACUGCCGUCUUGAAACUCAACUCAGGAAGCUCAGUAGACAACACUCUGCAGGCUUCUCACCCUAGAAAAACAGGAGCACAGUUGCAGGUGAAAACUACACAGUAACGUUGUGUCAUACAGUGAUCACAACCUCCCCAGAUAGAAGGAAUGAACUUAAAGCCUUGAGGGAAACGUUUCACUGGAAGUACACAAUGUACGUUUUAUUAACCAAUGAGGAGUCAAGGUGCUUUUAUUUUUUAUACAUUCUUGACCAAUCAGAUCAGCGCUGGGUGAACGCGUCAUAAGCCAUCAGCUGCCUUACCCAACACUGUAUGAAGUUUGCUGAUGACACAACAGCGAUAGGCCUGAAUACCGACGACGAUCAGCAUGACCAAGCUGAUCGUGGACAGUAGGAGAAGGGGGGAGAGCACACCGGGGAGAGCACGCCGCUCUUGGAGUGGGUCAAGAGCUUCAAGAUCCUUGGUGUCCCGUGUGGCUCAGUUGGUAGAGAAUGGCGCUUGCGAUGCCAGGGUUGUGAGUCGAUUCCCACGAGGGACCAACGGUAGCAACAAGAUGAAGCGCUGCGAUGUGUGUGGACCCAAGGACAGGAAGACACAGUACACAUUCAUCAAGUGCAAGAAAUACAUUUGCAUCACAAACACAGUAAAACUCUGUCCCUCAUGUGGUGUGUAGACCGGCGUUAACUUUUGUUCAAUGGGGCUCAUUUAUAAUUUCUGUAAAAUGUGUCCUUCCAAUUUGUUCAGUUCAAAGCAAUAAAGAUCAACUGUGAUGAAA
rnacentral:lncRNA from 1 species